UGGGGAAUAUUGCACAAUGGGCGAAAGCCUGAUGCAGCAAUGCCGCGUGUGUGAAGAAGGCCUUCGGUUGUAAAGCACUUUGUCCGGAAAGAAAUCCUUGGCUCUAAUACAGUCGGGGAUGACGGUACCGGAAGAAUAAGCACCGGCUAACUACGUGCCAGCAGCCGCGGUAAUACGUAGGGUGCAAGCGUUAAUCGGAAUUACUGGGCGUAAAGCGUGCGCAGGCGGUUUGCUAAGACCGAUGUGAAAUCCCCGGGCUCAACCUGGGAACUGCAUUGGUGACUGGCAGGCUAGAGUAUGGCAGAGGGGGGUAGAAUUUCCCUACGUGUAGCAGUGAAAUGCGUAGAGAUCUGGAGGAAUACCGGUGGCGAAGGCGGCCCCCUUGGACGAAGACUGACG
rnacentral:rRNA from 1 species